UGAGUAACCUGCCCUUAACUCUGGGAUAAGCCUGGGAAACUGGGUCUAAUACCGGAUAUGACUCCUCAUCGCAUGGUGGGGGGUGGAAAGCUUUAUUGUGGUUUUGGAUGGACUCGCGGCCUAUCAGCUUGUUGGUGAGGUAAUGGCCCACCAAGGCGACGACGGGUAGCCGGCCUGAGAGGGUGACCGGCCAUACUGGGACUGAGACACGGCCCAGACUCCUACGGGAGGCAG
rnacentral:rRNA from 1 species